GUGAGUCGGAUAGCUGACUUCGGAAAUUAGUUAUUAAAUUAGUUCUAAUUUCUGAGGAAGGUCCGGACAUCAUUAAAAGCGACUUUCCGAAAGGAUUGCUGUCGUGAGGCAGAGCUCCGCAACAGAAAUGACACAGCUUCCAUUGAACUAUGAACUGUGAAGGGAGUUAAGAUAUGGAAGAUUUGAUGAAACGUUGAGAUUGAUAGGUCUCAAAAUAUUCAAGAACUUGUUUCUUGAUAUUGGCGUCUUCGCUGAUGCAACCACUCUAACCGUGGGCAUAGACAGAUGUCAGCAAAUACUGUUUGCAUUAAGUUGCAAAGUAUUACAGAAUCUGGCCUAUUUCCGACUCAC
rnacentral:RNase_P_RNA from 1 species